rnacentral:rRNA from 1 species
ACUCCUACGGGAGGCAGCAGUGGGGAAUAUUGCACAAUGGGCGCAAGCCUGAUCCAGCCAUGCCGCGUGCAGGAAGACUGCCCUAUGGGUUGUAAACUGCUUUUAUACAGGAAGAAACACUCCCUCGAGUAGGGAGCUUGACGGUACUGUAAGAAUAAGGAUCGGCUAACUCCGUGCCAGCAGCCGCGGUAAUACGGAGGAUCCAAGCGUUAUCCGGAAUCAUUGGGUUUAAAGGGUCCGUAGGUGGAUAAUUAAGUCAGAGGUGAAAGUCCGCGGCUCAACCGUAGAAUUGCCUUUGAUACUGGUUAUCUUGAAUUAUUAUGAAGUAGUUAGAAUAUGUAGUGUAGCGGUGAAAUGCAUAGAUAUUACAUAGAAUACCAAUUGCGAAGGCAGAUUACUAAUAAUAUAUUGACACUGAUGGACGAAAGCGUGGGGAGCGAAACAGGAUUAGAUACCCUGGUAGACUGUCAU